rnacentral:rRNA from 1 species
GAUGAACGCUGGCGGCGUGCUUAACACAUGCAAGUCGAACGAAGCACUUAAGAUUGACUCUUCGGAUGAUUUCUUUUGUGACUUAGUGGCGGACGGGUGAGUAACGCGUGGGUAACCUGCCUCACACAGGGGGAUAACAGUUAGAAAUGACUGCUAAUACCGCAUAACCCGAUAGGAUCGCAUGAUCCAGACGGAAAAGAUUUAUCGGUGUGAGAUGGACCCGCGUCUGAUUAGCUAGUUGGUGAGGUAACGGCCCACCAAGGCGACGAUCCAUAGCCGACCUGAGAGGGUGACCGGCCACAUUGGGACUGAGACACGGCCCAAACUCCUACGGGAGGCAGCAGUGGGGAAUAUUGCACAAUGGGCGAAAGCCUGAUGCAGCGACGCCGCGUGAGCGAAGAAGUAUUUCGGUAUGUAAAGCUCUAUCAGCAGGGAAGAUAAUGACGGUAC